rnacentral:lncRNA from 1 species
UGCUACUCUACGUUAUCCCUAUUUAAGCAACAAAAGAAAGAUGACUAAAGUCUAUCUAGGUGGUCCCCACACAUGUGGACAAAGCCUUCAAAGUACUUCUUGCCCCAAGUCUCUUUCCGUAGCUUUCUUUUAAGAGCCCAAUUGACUAGAUGCUUUCCACUAGCUUGUGGUCCCCACCAAUUCAAGGGCCCAAGCAUUGAAG